AGCUAGACCAAAAUUGGCAACUUUGGCUCUCAUGUUGGUGUCUAGGAGAAUGUUGCUAGUUUUGAUGUCUUUAUGGACAACUCUUGGCCUUGUAUGCUCAUGAAUGUAUAAGAGACCAUUUGCAACAUCAGUUGCAAUUCUUAGUCUUGUUUUCCAACUCAAUUUUUCAGGUUUUUCACCGUGAAGCCAAGAAUGUAGUGAACCAUUUUCAACAUACUCAUAGACUAAGUAGCAAUUUGCUUCUUUAGGGUCUAUGCAAAAACCCUCUAGCUUCACCAAAUUCCCAUGGUUCACCUACACAAACAAAAAAAGGUGAAAGAGAAUGACAUAUCUUCUAUCCAGUAACAGUUUAACUUUAAAGUGUUCAUGUUAUCCUUAAUAAAAUGAUUUUUACGUCACAUAAAUUGGGA